CCUACGGGAGGCAGCAGUGGGGAAUAUUGGACAAUGGGGGGAACCCUGAUCCAGCGACGCCGCGUGAGUGAAGAAGUAUUUCGGUAUGUAAAGCUCUAUCAGCAGGGAAGAAAGAAAUGACGGUACCGGACUAAGAAGCCACGGCUAACUACGGGCCAGCAGCCGCGGUAAGACGUAGGGGGCAAGCGUUAUCCGGAUUUACUGGGUGUAAAGGGAGCGUAGACGGCGAGGCAAGUCUGAAGUGAAAGGCGGGGGCCCAACCCCCGGACUGCUUUUGAAACUGUAUGGCUGGAGUGCAGGAGAGGUAAGUGGAAUUCCUAGUGUAGCGGUGAAAUGCGUAGAUAUUAGGAGGAACACCAGUGGCGAAGGCGGCUUACUGGACUGUAACUGACGUUGAGGCUCGAAAGCGUGGGGAGCAAACAGGAUUAGAUACCCGAGUAGUC
rnacentral:rRNA from 1 species